rnacentral:rRNA from 1 species
AGCGAACGCUGGCGGCAGGCUUAACACAUGCAAGUCGAGCGGGCACUUCGGUGUCAGCGGCAGACGGGUGAGUAACACGUGGGAACGUACCCUUUGGUUCGGAAUAACGCUGGGAAACUAGCGCUAAUACCGGAUACGCCCUUUUGGGGAAAGGCUUGCUGCCGAAGGAUCGGCCCGCGUCUGAUUAGCUAGUUGGUGGGGUAAUGGCCUACCAAGGCGACGAUCAGUAGCUGGUCUGAGAGGAUGAUCAGCCACACUGGGACUGAGACACGGCCCAGACUCCUACGGGAGGCGGCAGUGGGGAAUAUUGGACAAUGGGCGCAAGCCUGAUCCAGCCAUGCCGCGUGAGUGAUGAAGGCCUUAGGGUUGUAAAGCUCUUUUGUCCGGGACGAUAAUGACGGUACCGGAAGAAUAAGCCCCGGCUAACUUCGUG